rnacentral:rRNA from 1 species
UACGUAGGGGGCAAGCGUUGUCCGGAAUCAUUGGGCGUAAGGAGCGUGUAGGCGGCCCGAUAAGUCCGCUGUGAAAGUCCAGGGCUCAACCCUGGGAUGCCGGUGGAUACUGUCGGGCUCGAGUCCGGAAGAGGAGUGUGGAAUUCCUGGUGUAGCGGUGAAAUGCGCAGAUAUCAGGAGGAACACCAAUGGCGAAGGCAGCACUCUGGGACGGUACUGACGCUGAGACGCGAAAGCAUGGGGAGCGAACAGG